AGCUUGCUCCCUGGCGGCGAGUGGCGGACGGGUGAGUAACACGUGGGAAUCUGCCUGGUAGCGGGGGACAACUCGAGGAAACUCGGGCUAAUACCGCAUACGCCCUACGGGGGAAAGCGGGGGACCUUCGGGCCUCGCGCUAUCAGAUGAGCCCGCGGCCGAUUAGCUUGUUGGUGAGGUAACGGCUCACCAAGGCGACGAUCGGUAGCUGGUCUGAGAGGAUGAUCAGCCACACUGGGACUGAGACACGGCCCAGACUCCUACGGGAGGCAGCAGUGGGGAAUAUUGGACAAUGGGCGAAAGCCUGAUCCAGGCAAUGCCGCGUGUGUGAAGAAGGCCUUAGGGUUGUAAAGCACUUUCAAUGGGGAAGAAAAGCAGGGUGCCAAUACCACCCUGUCAUGACGUUACCCAUAGAAGAAGCACCGGCUAACUCCGUGCCAGCAGCCGCGGUAAUACGGAGGGUGCGAGCGUUAAUCGGAAUUACUGGGCGUAAAGGGCGCGUA
rnacentral:rRNA from 1 species